AACGUACGCUGGCGGCACGCCUAACACAUGCAAGUCGAACGAAGUAGCAAUACUUAGUGGCAGACGGGUGAGUAACAUGUGGGUAUCUACCCUUUGGCCUGGAAUAACACGAGGAAACUUGUGCUAAUACCGGAUAAGUCUUUACGGAGAAAGCUUUAUGCACCAUUGGAUGAGCCCGUACGGUAUCAGUUAGUUGGUGAGGUAAUGGCUCACCAAGACAAUGACGCCUAACUGGUUUGAGAGGAUGAUCAGUCACACUGGAACUGAGACACGGUCCAG
rnacentral:rRNA from 1 species